rnacentral:tRNA from 1 species
GGGUCUGUAGCUCAGUUGGUUAGAGCGCUCGCCUGAUAAAGCGGGAGGUCCCUGGUUCGAAUCCAGGCAGGCCCA